UACGGGGGGGGCAAGCGUUGUUCGGCAUUACUGGGCGUAAAGGGCGCGUAGGCGGUUCGCUAAGUUGGAUGUGAAAACUCUGGGCUCAACCCAGAGCCUGCAUCCAAAACUGGCGGGCUAGAGUUCUGGAGGGGGUAGCGGAAUUCCUGGUGUAGCGGUGAAAUGCGUAGAUAUCAGGAGGAACACCGGUGGCGAAGGCGGCUACCUGGACAGAAACUGACGCUGAGGCGCGAAAGCUAGGGGAGCAAACAGG
rnacentral:rRNA from 1 species